CUGGACUCUGCCAUGCACAUCACAGAGCAUCUGAGAGGCAAGGCACCUACAACAGAAGACAAUCCAUAAAUGACCAUGUGAUGGGUGCUCCAUCAAUGAUGAAAGGAAUGAAUGAGUACCUUUUAUGGCAUGGUGGGAGGUGGAGGUGGCGGGAGCACUUGAAGGUGGAGGAGAUUGGUACAUGCCUGCCCCUUGUGACUGAAUCUGGAACAGGUGCACGUUUCUGCCUGCUUCGUGAAGCAAACUGCCAAAGUCGAACCAAGGCAAGUGACUAUUUCUUCCUAGUUUGACUCAUCAAUUCUCAUCAUUUUCUG
rnacentral:lncRNA from 10 species